GCGGUUUGUGUUCCCGACCUCGUAUACGGC
rnacentral:sRNA from 1 species